GACAGAGGGUGCAAGCGUUGUUCGGAUUUACUGGGCGUAAAGGGCGCGUAGGCGUAUUUGUAAGUCAGUUGUGAAAGACCGGGGCUCAACCCCGGAACUGCAGCCGAUACUGCAAGUAUAGAGAUAGUAAGAGGAAAGCGGAAUUCCUAGUGUAGAGGUAAAAUUCACAGAUAUUAGGAGGAACACCAAAAGCGAAGGCAGCUUUCUGGGACAUAUCUGACGUUCAAGCGCGAAAGUGUGGGUAGCAAACAGG
rnacentral:rRNA from 1 species